rnacentral:rRNA from 5 species
UUGGAGGGCAAGUCUGGUGCCAGCAGCCGCGGUAAUUCCAGCUCCAAUAGCGUAUAUUAAAGUUGUUGCAGUUAAAAAGCUCGUAGUUGAAUUUCGGGGUCAGUAGGUUGGUCAUGCCACUGGUAUGUACUGGUCUCACUGAUUCCUCCUUCCUGAUGAGCCGUAAUGCCAUUAAUUUGGUGUUGCGAGGAAUCUGGACUGUUACUUUGAAAAAAUUAGAGUGUUUAAAGCAGGCUAACGCUUGAAUACAUUAGCAUGGAAUAAUGAAAUAGGACGUUCGAUCUUAUUUUGUUGGUUUCUAAGAUUGACGUAAUGAUUAAUAGGGAUAGUUGGGGGCAUUAGUAUUCAAUUGUCAGAGGUGAAAUUCUUGGAUUUAUUGAAGACUAACUACUGCGAAAGCAUUUGCCAAGGAUGUUUUCAUUAAUCAAGAACGAAAGUUAGGGGAUCGAAGACGAUCAGAUACCGUCGUAGUCUUAACCAUAAACUAUGCCGACUAGGGAUCGGAUGAUGUUAAUUUUUUAAUGACUCAUUCGGCGCCUUACGGGAAAC